GACGAACGCUGGCGGCGUGCUUAACACAUGCAAGUCGAACGGGUCUGCCCUGUUUUUUGCGGGGUGGGUCAGUGGCGAACGGGUGAGUAACACGUGAGUAACCUGCCCCUCACUUCUGGAUAACCGCUUGAAAGGGUGGCUAAUACGGGGUGUUCUGGCUGUGCCGCAUGGUGUGGCUGGGAAAGAUUCACUUUUGUGGUGUUUUGGUGGGGGAUGGGCUCGCGGCCUAUCAGCUUGUUGGUGGGGUGAUGGCCUGCCAAGGCUUUGACGGGUAGCCGGCCUGAGAGGGUGGGCGGUCACACUGGGACUGAGAUACGGCCCAGACUCCUGCGGGAGGCAGCAGGGGGGGGUAUUGCACAAGGGGCGGAAGCCUGAUGCAGCGACGUCGCGUGAGGGAUGGAGGCCUUCGGGUUGUGAACCUCUUUCGCCGGUGAAGAAGGUCCUGCUCUUUGUGGUGGGGUUGACGGUAGCCGGGUUAUGAAGCGCCGGCUAACUACGUG
rnacentral:rRNA from 1 species